AGAGUUUGAUCCUGGCUCAGGAUGAACGCUGGCGGCGUGCUUAACACAUGCAAGUCGAGCGAUGAAGUUUCCUUCGGGAAACGGAUUAGCGGCGGACGGGUGAGUAACACGUGGGUAACCUGCCUCAUAGAGUGGAAUAGCCUUCCGAAAGGAAGAUUAAUACCGCAUAAUGUUGAAAGAUGGCAUCAUCAUUUAACCAAAGGAGCAAUCCGCUAUGAGAUGGACCCGCGGCGCAUUAGCUAGUUGGUGGGGUAACGGCCUACCAAGGCGACGAUGCGUAGCCGACCUGAGAGGGUGAUCGGCCACAUUGGGACUGAGACACGGCCCAUACUCCUACGGGAGGCAGCAGUGGGGAAUAUUGCACAAUGGGGGAAACCCUGAUGCAGCAACGCCGCGUGAGUGAUGACGGUCUUCGGAUUGUAAAGCUCUGUCCUUGGUGAAGAUAAUGACGGUAGCCAAGGAGGAAGCUCCGGCUAACUACGUGCCAGCAGCCGCGGUAAUACGUAGGUGGCAAGCGUUGUCCGGAUUUACUGGGCGUAAAGGGAGCGUAGGCGGAUUUUUAAGUGGGAUGUGAAAUACCCGGGCUUAACCUGGGUGCUGCAUUCCAAACUGGAUAUCUAGAGUGCAGGAGAGGAAAGGAGAAUUCCUAGUGUAGCGGUGAAAUGCGUAGAUAUAUGGAAGAACACCAGUGGCGAAGGCGGCUGUCUGGUCUGUAACUGACGCUGAGGCUCGAAAGCAUGGGUAGCGAACAGGAUUAGAUACCCUGGUAGUCCAUGCCGAAACGAUGAAUGCUAGGUGUUGGAGGGUUUCCGCCCUUCAGUGCCGCAGCUAACGCAUUAAGCAUUCCGCCUGGGGAGUACGACCGCAAGGUUGAAACUCAAAGGAAUUGACGGGGGCCCGCACAAGCGGUGGAGCAUGUGGUUUAAUUCGAAGCAACGCGAAGAACCUUACCAGGUCUUGACAUCCUUUGACCACUCUAGAGAUAGAGCUUUCCCUUCGGGGACAAAGUGACAGGUGGUGCAUGGUUGUCGUCAGCUCGUGCUGGGAGAUGUUGGGUUAAGUCCCGCAACGAGCGCAACCCUUAUUACUAGUUGCCAGCAUUUAGUUGGGCACUCUAGUGAGACUGCCGGUGACAAACCGGAGGAAGGUGGGGACGACGUCAAAUCAUCAUGCCCCUUAUGACCUGGGCUACACACGUGCUACAAUGGAUGGUACAACGAGUUGCGAGACCGCGAGGUUUAGCUAAUCUCUUAAAACCAUUCUCAGUUCGGAUUGUAGGCUGCAACUCGCCUACAUGAAGCCGGAAUCGCUAGUAAUCACGGAUCAGCAUGCCGCGGUGAAUACGUUCCCGGG
rnacentral:rRNA from 1 species